GAGUUUAUCGUGGCGUCAGGAUGAACGCUGGCGGCGUGCCUAAUACAUGCAAGUCGAGCGGUAAGGCUCCGCACCUGUUAUUGAUCGGGAUUUAUCCUAGGCUUUCUCCGGCUGGAGAAGGUUAACAGAUCGAAUAAUGUGUGUAGAGUACACGAGCGGCGGACGGCUGAGUAACACGUAGGAACGUACCCCAAAAGUGAGGGAUAAGCAUCGGAAACGGUGUCUAAUACCGCAUGUGCGUCUUCCGGAGUAAAAGCUUCGGCGCUUUGGGAACGGACCUGCGCAUGAUUAGCUUGUUGGUGAGGUAAAAGCUGACCAAAGGCGACG
rnacentral:rRNA from 1 species